GAUGAACGCUGGCGGCGUGCCUAAUACAUGCAAGUCGAGCGAACGGACGAGAAGCUUGCUUCUCUGAUGUUAGCGGCGGACGGGUGAGUAACACGUGGAUAACCUACCUAUAAGACUGGGAUAACUUCGGGAAACCGGAGCUAAUACCGGAUAAUAUUUUGAACCGCAUGGUUCAAAAGUGAAAGACGGUCUUGCUGUCACUUAUAGAUGGAUCCGCGCUGCAUUAGCUAGUUGGUAAGGUAACGGCUUACCAAGGCAACGAUGCAUAGCCGACCUGAGAGGGUGAUCGGCCACACUGGAACUGAGACACGGUCCAGACUCCUACGGGAGGCAGCAGUAGGGAAUCUUCCGCAAUGGGCGAAAGCCUGACGGAGCAACGCCGCGUGAGUGAUGAAGGUCUUUGGAUCGUAAAACUCUGUUAUUAGGGAAGAACAUAUGUGUAAGUAACUGUGCACAUCUUGACGGUACCUAAUCAGAAAGCCACGGCUAACUACGUGCCAGCAGCCGCGGUAAUACGUAGGUGGCAAGCGUUAUCCGGAAUUAUUGGGCGUAAAGCGCGCGUAGGCGGUUUUUUAAGUCUGAUGUGAAAGCCCACGGCUCAACCGUGGAGGGUCAUUGGAAACUGGAAAACUUGAGUGCAGAAGAGGAAAGUGGAAUUCCAUGUGUAGCGGUGAAAUGCGCAGAGAUAUGGAGGAACACCAGUGGCGAAGGCGACUUUCUGGUCUGUAACUGACGCUGAUGUGCGAAAGCGUGGGGAUCAAACAGGAUUAGAUACCCUGGUAGUCCACGCCGUAAACGAUGAGUGCUAAGUGUUAGGGGGUUUCCGCCCCUUAGUGCUGCAGCUAACGCAUUAAGCACUCCGCCUGGGGAGUACGACCGCAAGGUUGAAACUCAAAGGAAUUGACGGGGACCCGCACAAGCGGUGGAGCAUGUGGUUUAAUUCGAAGCAACGCGAAGAACCUUACCAAAUCUUGACAUCCUUUGACAACUCUAGAGAUAGAGCCUUCCCCUUCGGGGGACAAAGUGACAGGUGGUGCAUGGUUGUCGUCAGCUCGUGUCGUGAGAUGUUGGGUUAAGUCCCGCAACGAGCGCAACCCUUAAGCUUAGUUGCCAUCAUUAAGUUGGGCACUCUAAGUUGACUGCCGGUGACAAACCGGAGGAAGGUGGGGAUGACGUCAAAUCAUCAUGCCCCUUAUGAUUUGGGCUACACACGUGCUACAAUGGACAAUACAAAGGGCAGCGAAACCGCGAGGUCAAGCAAAUCCCAUAAAGUUGUUCUCAGUUCGGAUUGUAGUCUGCAACUCGACUACAUGAAGCUGGAAUCGCUAGUAAUCGUAGAUCAGCAUGCUACGGUGAAUACGUUCCCGGGUCU
rnacentral:rRNA from 1 species